AAUUCCCUCACCUACCCUCUCCUCUGCUCAUCCCCUUCUCCAAGCUUCUCCCCCUUCACUCUCUCGAUCCGAUCCAGCCUACUCUGGUCCCCCUCAACCAGAUCAGGGCGUUACACUCACGACCGUCGGUCAAUUCUAGCCACCACUAGUGAGAACCGUAGCUUUCCAGCACCGCUCUCUCAGCCCACACUACCUCCUCCAUCGAGUGAAUUCAACAUGUUCGUUCCUGAGCGGCCCUACAUCGUGGAUCUGGUCCCACGUUGUCGUGGAUGUGGUCGUUGACCUUGACGGCGCACGGUCGCCAUGGCUGUGGCCGCUUGCGUUGUGUGCGCAAGAAGCAGAACCGCAUCACGCAGAUGGAUUAGGCGAUCCGCGUCGCCGUCGGCAUGACGCUUAACCAGGAGCAGAAGUAGGUGAUGCGCUCAAGCCCACCUUCGCCACCAUCGAGCGCCUUGCUUCCGUAGUGGGUGUCUCUAGCCGCGACGCACUCCAGGCAUGUGGCCAUCACGCCCACUUAUGGCUCGCCCACGCCGAUGAGCCGAUCCACUCUGGCUCCUCUGUUACUUGCAUUUUGGUGUGGUGAGGGCUAAGUUGGACAGGAUAAUGGCAUUAGACUACUACACAGCAGCUGCAGUUGGAGGGAGCUACGGAGCUGAAGAUGUGCAGGCACAGGAGAGUAUUACAGUCCAGGAGAACCUAGCUGCUGAAGGUCACAAGGACAACUCCUUGAUACCCAGCAAACAUAAAAACGUAUAUAAACUGGAAGUAUUGUGUGCAAGAAACCGAGGUGGGAUUAAAACAAACCAACCUUUGCAUCUACUAUCCAAACCGAUAUGGAGACGUGGGGGCUCCAUCGUCACAUUAUCGACUUACUCCGUCACCUCAGCUGGACCGGAGGCUUCACCAUCGCUUCAUUAACCCACUCCGGGGACAUCGGCGUCACCAGCCGACUAGCUCCGUCACCUCGGUUGGACUAGGGGCUUCACCUCACCGCAUCGGCAGUAUUGUGCCAUCACCUCAUCAAGCCGAGCUCUUUGCUCAGGCACCUUGGGACUGGCUUGGGGGCUGGGUCCUCGUCCCGCCGCAAGCUCGGCGUGUGUCAUCACCACUGAGCACAUUAACCAGCUAAGUCGUUUUCAUGCUCAAAUUUUUUAAUUUGUUCGGUUCGACCAAACUUUAUAUUUAUGUUAAACAAAAGACUUAGUUUGUUAAAAUAAGUUAUUUGUUAACAACACUUCCUUUACCCAAGUUAACUGGGGGCUCUUAAAUUUGUACGAGCCGUUCUAUAAUAAUUGUUUUCUUCUUAGUCAUUGCAAAGUCUUUUUCCGCCACUCGUUUCUCGACUCUAGUGUGCGGUCAAUAGCCGGAUAGCCUGAUUUCUCUCUAAAGCUGCUCAAUUUUAGUUUGCUAAACUGGCCUUAGAGAAGCACUCCGCCUUCGGGAUAAGGAGGUUAAGCCGAAGGCUGACCCACUUGAAGUUUAGAUCGGAUGUGUCAUAUUAAUGCAAGACAGAAGCACAAAAAAUUUAAGGCCAAGUUUGAAUUGGCACAAAACCUUGAUUUAGUUCGGACGUAAAGUUUUUACUAAAGUUUUUUAUUUUUCAAGCUUAUGGCAUAUUUUAUGUGUUUCCAAUAUAAGUCUCGCAGUACAACGUGAGACACCUUUAAAGCUUAGGCACUAUCAAAGAGGGGUUGCGGGUAGAGCCGAACCUGUUGGGGAACGCAGUAUUUCAAAAAAAAUCCUACGAUCACGCAAGAUCUAUUUAGGAGAUGCAUA